rnacentral:rRNA from 1 species
CGGUAACAUUUACUAGCUUGCUAGAAGAUGACGAGUGGCGGACGGGUGAGUAAUGCUUGGGAACUUGCCUUUGCGAGGGGGAUAACAGUUGGAAACGACUGCUAAUACCGCAUAAUGUCUUCGGACCAAACGGGGCUUCGGCUCCGGCGCAAAGAGAGGCCCAAGUGAGAUUAGCUAGUUGGUAAGGUAACGGCUUACCAAGGCGACGAUCUCUAGCUGUUCUGAGAGGAAGAUCAGCCACACUGGGACUGAGACACGGCCCAGACUCCUACGGGAGGCAGCAGUGGGGAAUAUUGCACAAUGGGGGAAACCCUGAUGCAGCCAUGCCGCGUGUGUGAAGAAGGCCUUCGGGUUGUAAAGCACUUUCAGUUGUGAGGAAAAGUUAGUAGUUAAUACCUGCUAGCCGUGACGUUAACAACAGAAGAAGCACCGGCUAACUCCGUGCCAGCAGCCGCGGUAAUACGGAGGGUGCGAGCGUUAAUCGGAAUUACUGGGCGUAAAGCGCACGCAGGCGGUUUGUUAAGCUAGAUGUGAAAGCCCCGGGCUCAACCUGGGAUGGUCAUUUAGAACUGGCAGACUAGAGUCUUGGAGAGGGGAGUGGAAUUCCAGGUGUAGCGGUGAAAUGCGUAGAUAUCUGGAGGAACAUCAGUGGCGAAGGCGACUCCCUGGCCAAAGACUGACGCUCAUGUGCGAAAGUGUGGGUAGCGAACAGGAUUAGAUACCCUGGUAGUCCACACCGUAAACGCUGUCUACUAGCUGUGUGUGUCUUUAAGACGUGCGUAGCGAAGCUAACGCGCUAAGUAGACCGCCUGGGGAGUACGGCCGCAAGGUUAAAACUCAAAUGAUUGACGGGGGCCCGCACAAGCGGUGGAGCAUGUGG